GAUGAACGCUGGCGGCGUGCUUAAUACAUGCAAGUCGAACGGACAGGCGGGGAUCUUGCUGGUCGCACGUGAGGGGCGGGCGGGUGAUUCACAGGUGGAUACCCUGCCUAGAGGGCUGGCAUAACGUCGGCAAACCGAAUCUAACACCCGACCAGAUGUUGAACCCGGGGGAUCGAUAGGCAAAGCCGUAUUUGAUGGCCCGAAUAGAGGUAUCCUCGCCGGAUUGGCUAGUUGGUAAGGUAACGGCUUACCAAGGCGACGAUGCGUAGCCGACCUGAGAGGGUGAUCGGCCACACUGGAACUGAGACACGGCCCAGACUCCUACGGGAGGCAGCAGUAGGGAAUUUUGCGCAAUGGGCGCAAGCCUGACGGAGCCACGCCGCGUGCGUGAUGAAGGUCUUCGGAUCGUAAACCUCUGUUAUUAGGGAAGAAAACCUGUGUACGUAAAUAUGGAGGUCUUGACGGUACCUAAUGAGAAAGCAACGGCUAACUACGUG
rnacentral:rRNA from 1 species